rnacentral:miRNA from 1 species
CCUGUCUCAAAGCUGGUGGUAUG